GCACGGUCAUUGAGCAACUUUUUUUUCUACCCGACCCGAGCUAUACUAUUGUUACAAAAAACCCGAUUUCAUUGAUUUACUAAUAUCAUCGCAGUACAUACAUACAACAAUAUAACGCCCUACAGCUGAGAUCGUGUCGCUCAAAAUUCAAAUAGUUUACACAAAGGGUCCACCCUUGACAUACUCAGUGAAAGCUAGAGCAACCAAACCAAGCAUAGCAAAUCUACCGUUCCAGAUCUCUGCAUCGGAGGUCAUCAACCCAUCCGAUUUCGACUCUGCGGUUACACCUCCGAACAUCGGAAUUAGCGAAGCAACAGUGAACAGCCCGCUAAUCAAUAAGAACCAAGAGGCUCCUCCCUCUGAAAUUUGAGUGAACACAUCCUGACCCUUGGAUAGCUCCACCGCCAAAGCAGCCACGAAUCCAACCAUCGCAAGCCUGCCGUUUAUUCU
rnacentral:lncRNA from 1 species